AAAAAAGUAAUGUAUUUUUCAAAAUUAUUUUCAGAAAUGAAGCAGACUUAUAAAUAGUUCAAAAUACUGUAACUACAUAAAUGAAAAUAAAUUUGUGGAAUUGUAAACUGCGUAACAGAUGUUUAUGGAUUUAGAUUAAGAAUUUAAUGAUCAAAUAUUAUGUAUUUCUAUAAGAGGUGUUCUUGUAUGGAGGUUGAGACAGGGUGCUUAAUAUGGGCUAUAUUUACAGCUAUUAUAAAAGGAAUAGCAACAUUAUUGGGUAUUGUAUUCCUCAUCUUCUUGAAUAUCGAGUUCAUACAGCUAUCUGAAGAUAAAGGGUUGGGAAAUGUUCUGAGUCUAAUUUUCAACAUUGUCGGAAUAUUUAUACUUUCCCUAAUAAUUAGUUCAUUUAUCUUUUCGAUAUAUCUGCUGCUUGGAGUUAUUAAGAAACGGCCGCAGUACAUCAAAGCAUACUUUAUAUACAGUGUCAUGAUUUUUUCUAUGUUGGUGGUUAUAUGCUUGAUUUUAACGGCUACUGCGAGCGAUAUGAUGCUAUCUUCCGUUUUCUGCAUUUCAAUUUUAGGUUUCCACGGUCUUAUUUUAAACAUGGUUUAUAAGACAUAUGAAAAAUUCAAUGGAGAUUUGUUUCAACAGUAUAAUAAUUACUCACAAGUUACAACAGUAUAGUCACUCACACGUGAAUAAUGGAAGCGAAAAAAAAUUAUAUUUUUAAAUGAAUUGAUAUUAUAAAUUAUUUAUGAUUACUGACAUAUGUACCAAAGAUACUAGCUAAGGCGAAAAAUUUAAGCUAAUAAUUGUAUGAUAGAAACUAAAAUAUCUAACUACAUAACUAUUAAUAAUAAGAGUAUUUUAAUAAAAUUAACUAGACUUCCAUUUUUACCCCACCAAUUAAGAUAUUAUUUGACCCCGUUUUUCAAUGUUGUAAAUAACCCUCAUAAUUAUUAUUAACCCUCAUAGUUAUUUAUACACAUAUUUACCUACUUAAAAUAAAAGUGUGUAAAUCUACCACUACAAGCCUAUAAUUUUUAUUAUAUUAUGUAGUACAUAUUAUAAUAAUUAUAUUUACAAUGUAACGCGCGAGAUGGAAAAUUAAAUUGUCGAAAAAUCUGAAACAUUUGCUAGCAAUUUAACUAUCUUUCGACAAUUUACAGUCUCGCGAAUCUAUCCUAAUCUUGAUAGUAAAAUGACGGUGUUUACAAUUGUAUGGUAAAACAUAUAUUUAUACCUUUUAGUCCAUUUUGUAAUGAAAAUAACCCUUUUUUUAUAAUUUUUAUCAAACGUUUUUUUUAAGGUAGAUCGUGAAUUUAACAUCACAAAACGUUAAUAUAGAUUUGAAAUUUAUAAUAAAUUUUUUACUUUCUUUUGUUUCAUUUAAUUAGGUAAGUGCGCAUGACUUAGUUACCCUGUAUUGAUUUAAAUAAAUUGUUUAAUACAUCUUUAGAACAUUUUAUUAUUUCUUUACAUGAUAAUUUUUAACGAUUCAUAAAAUUCAAUGAUCUAUAUGUCAUACAAAAUACGAACAUGUAUUGUCCAUGGUUUAAAAUUUAAGAGCGGUUUCAGACUAGCGUAUUUUUUUGGGCGUAGGUAUACGGUUGUUUCAGCAUACUUAUUUAUAUAAGCGCGCUACAUUACGCGCUUCAAACCAUACUCGCGUAAACGGGCAUAUUUCGGGUUGUUCGCUCGCACUGGUGGUGUCGUCAAUAUCAACAUGGAUUCUGACGCAGAUUACUAUUUAGUAUUUACGAGCUUUAGAAGCGCGUCGCGCUCGUACGAGUCGAGCGUGCGACAAAAGGCGCGCCUGUGCCCUGUACGCGCCAACAUGCGCUUCCAAAAACGAGCUCACACGCGCGUAUAAAACGCUAGUCUCAAACCGCUCUUAAUUGUCUCGCUUUUAGAAGAUCAAGAUCAUAGACUAGCAACUAGUCUAUAAUCUUAGAUGUAUCUCUGAAUUUCCUGGCAGACUGUUAGGCGCCUACGACUGCUAUUGAUCUGGUACUUUUACUGCGACUAAAUUUUGACUUUAGUCUCUGUUUAGUGCAGACAACCGCACUAUGAUUAUAAAUAAAUAUAGUGUUUAUUGUAAAACGUAAAAAGAAAGUGGUAAGAUACUGUGAUAAAUACGACAAAAAUGUUAUCCUACAAAUUAUUCUUAGUUGUAAAUUUCUAAUAUGGACUCAGAAUAGUAUUGUAAUUAAAACUAGAAAUGAUAUCUUAAACAAUUACAGCCUCAUAGCAUGCGUUAUUUAAGUGAAUUUAUUUUCAGUGUAUGUUAUGAAAUAAAUAUAUAUUUCUUAAAACUCAACGGACGUAAUUAAUAUUAUAAAUUAUGUGUCUGGACAUGAAUUUUACAAUGAUUAAGAUGACAAAAUGCAAUAAGCAAUGCAAUAAGAUGUGUAUGGACGGGAGAUGUUGCGGUAUGGAGGUAGAGACAGGGUGUCUCAUAUGGGCCAUUAUAAGUACUAUCCUUUCAGCCUUGGCGAUGUUAUUCUCUUGGAGUUUAAUUUUCUAUAUUAAUUAUUUCGUGGGUCAUGGCGGCGACCCUAUAGGUUUCGCUGUUCUUCAAGUGUAUAACAUACUAUUUAUACUUGUAAGUUGUUCAAUAACAUCAUCAUUUGUUUUUUCGGUAAUUCUGCUGGUUGGAGUUGUCAAGAAAAAAGCGAAAUAUCUCGAAUCCUACAUCACUUUUGGAAUAUUUAUAACUGUUUUUAUGCUGGCUGUGUUUGUGGCUGUUUCUUUAUUAUCAGAACUUGGUGGUUCCGAUGGCUUUGUUAUUUAUUUAGUAUGUUCCAUUGCUUUUAUCAUAUUAUUAGGUUUAUACUAUGGACUUAUUUUACACAUGGUGAAAGUUACGUCCCUUAAAUUUAACGGAAAUUUAGCACAACAGAACUCAGAUGCAGAAAAGACGAACGUUUAAGCAGUGGUGGCGAGGAUAGAUUAAUUUAUUCAAUUAAAAUGGGAUUAUAAUAAAUUAUUAAACACUCAAACACUCCUACAA